UACGGGGGGAGCAAGCGUUGUUCGGAUUUACUGGGCGUAAAGGGCGCGUAGGCGGCCUCCGCAAGUCAGUUGUGAAAUCUCCGAGCUUAACUCGGAAAGGUCAACUGAUACUGCGGGGCUAGAGUGCGGAAGGGGCAACUGGAAUUCUUGGUGUAGCGGUGAAAUGCGUAGAUAUCGGGAGGAACACCUGAGGCGAAGGCGGCUCUCUGGGCCUUACCUGACGCUGAGGAGCGAAAGCGUGGGUAGCGAACAGG
rnacentral:rRNA from 1 species